rnacentral:lncRNA from 1 species
GCUCAUUUCUUAACCAUUUUUCAUGAAAUUUAUACCAAUAGAAAGCUGAAGAUGAGUAGAACAACAUUAUACCUGUUUAAAGCUCCAAAAAUCAAGAAAUCUCGCUAGAGAAAUUCGAGGAAACCAGCCAACUUCGAAACUAGCUAUCCCGACGUCUAAAUUUUUCCAACGAAGCACUCCGAGCCUCCUUAGAACCUCCUAAAGCUUUCUAUGGUCUUGAAAUUCAAUAAAAAUCAACAUUUUAUGUGAGCAUGAAUAGUACCUCAAAUCGGGGUU